ACUCUUACGCAAUCUCUUGUCGUAACGGUUAUUUCAAAGCGCCGACCUUCAGGAUGCGGGUUUGCCUCAUGAUUCCUGUCUCUGAGAUGUUCUCGUUUUUCUCAGUUCUCACAGUUGUCUGUUGAUGCGGCUAAUAAACAUGCCGGCGGUCACCCUGCUUCGUUUAUUGGUGAUGCUGUUGAGAUCCCCGGGAUUCAUUUGCCGAUACCCAGAUGUUCGAUCCCUCCUCUGCUUCUCGUUCCAGGGAAUUUGUUCGAGAAAAAUAUUCAUGGAGGACAGUUGAUCCGAAGCUGACCAAAGAUUUUCAUCAACACGUUUGGAAAAUAGUUCCUGAGUUGCCUUCUGUGCAUGCGAUUGGCCCUUCAAUGCCUUGUGAGUUUGAGAAGCAACCAAUUGAGGAAGAUAGUAAUGAGGAGCUGGAAUAUGCUGACAGUACUGGUGGAAACUUUCAAGAAUAUACUGGUAAGUAAGUGCUAUAUAAAUAUUUCAAAUUUUAGCUGGACUGAUAUCUGUGCAUAGUCUUAAAAUGCGUGUUUUUUUUUUAAUUUCAAUCAGGUAAAGUACUAAUGAUACAUUUGAUCCUUGUGACAGAUCUUAAUCUGCCAUAUCUAAAACUGAUUGACACGGUUGUCCCUGCAGAUAUGGUUUGGCCAAAAAAAAAAUUAUAACUAAUAGUAGAAGAAUUUGUGACAGAUUUUUUUUUUAAAAAAUUAAUAUGAAACAGCUAAAAAAAACCCUUUAACAAAUGUGAGCUUUUUGAGAAAGAAUCCUCAACCUACACUUAUCUCCACACUGAUGUUUUAUAUCCCCCCAAUCUGGCUGUGGUAAGUUCUCAAUCAUAUAGGAUUCUUUUAUCUUUCUUAUAGUUUGGCUCUGCAUCAGCUUGUGUUGGAAAUGGGGUUGCUGUGAGAUUGUCAGAAAGUGUUUCUGGUAUUUAUGUUGUUAAGGCAGUGGGGGUGGGUAUUUUGGGCUAUAUUGUUGGGAAUUUCUAGGCUCAUUCAUUAUAUGAUUAAUGGAGAUUUUUUAAUGUUAAGUUGAUUGAUCCAGUAGAUAAGACAGUGGAUAGAGAUUUAUCCCUCAUUCAAGAAUUGGGACUGAAGUUUAUAAUAUACCAUGAACACACAUGUAGAUGCUGAUCAUGUCACAGGGACUGACCACAUAAAGGUCUACUGUUGCUGAAUCUUUUUUUUGUUCAUUUAAUUUCUCUCUGUGAUCUGCUAUUGGAUUUAUUUUUGCUAGGUUUAUUAACAUUCUGUAAUUGCUUGGUGGUCAAAUUUUUAACCACUCAUCUUGUAUAGAGCAAAGUUCCAGAUGUAAAAUCUAUUAUUUCAAGAGCCAGUGGUGCAACAGCUGAUCUGUAUGUAGAGCAUGGUGAUAACGUCAGUUUUGGUGAUCUUUUUCUGGGGGUUGGUGUUACAGCCUCCUUCCCUGGUUUGGUGUCUUUGUAUAAGACUCGGUAAACUUUCUUUGGCAUUUUCUGAGAUUCUUUCAAGAAAAACAUGGUAGGUGGAUCUUUUUUGGACCUAAACUUGAUUGUAUUGAUUUUUUUUUUUUUAAGAUGGUCAUUGUUUCAUAAAUCUAUUGAAGAACUUCACAUAAGCAUCUAAAAAGUGAAUCAUAGUUUUCCCCAUUCACAUAUUAUGUUGAAUGACAUAAUGAUCAGCAAACAAUCAGCUCUGCAGCUCAAUUGUUAGGGGUGCAAUUGCUUUUAAAGAGAAGUAUUUUUGUGGCUGCAAAUUAUUGCUAAUCAAUUUCCCUUGAUGUUGAUUAUAUUAAGCUAGACAUGUUUUUUUCCAUACGUUGCAUGGAGAAUGAGGAAUGUGUUGCCUUGUUCAUGGCUGGUAAAUAGUGUAGCUUGUUAUAAUUUAUAUAUAUAUAUAUAUGUAUGCAUAUAUAUCUUGAUAAAUGACUAGGUGGGCCUUCUAUUUACGAAAUUUGAGUUCUUGGCCAUGCUGUUCACAGUUCGUGGACUGUGUGACUUGAUAUGGUUUUUAUCCUUUAUAUUAAUAUCUACAUCGACAUAAAAUGAUCCUUUUUUAUUCUAAUUCUGUUGUGGCAAAAAGCUCUUGUCUUCCGUUAUACUUGGCUGUGGGUGACAUGUACUAAUACACUAUUCAAUAUUGUGUAAUGUUCAUAAUUUUUUUUAUUGCUGUAGGCUCAUGCUACUCUUGGCCAUGCAUUGGGUUGUGUAACCUAUGUGACAGGAGACGCUUCUGAUCAGCCUAAACCUAGGAUGGCAUUCACAAGAGAUGUCCUAUUAAUUUGCGGAUGCUGAAGGACAGGCUUUCAGAUUUUUACAUUUCCCCAAGGAUACGUUGCUCUAUCCAGCUCAUGACUACAAAGGAUUCACUGUAACCACUGUGGGGGGGCACUUGCAAUACGAUUCGUGCCUGACAAAGGAUGAGGAAACUUUCAAGCAUAUAAUGGCAAGUGCUAUACAAAUAUUUCAAAAUUUGGUUAGACUUAUAUCUGUGCAUAUAAUCCUAAAAACAUGGUUUUAAUCAGCCAUAUCCAAAACUGAUUGACUUGACUGUCCCUAUAAAUAUGGUUUGUGGAAUUCAGUCAAAAGCAACCUGAGCAAUUGGAAGCUUCAUUUCGCUCUCUCCUUGGGACGUAAGACGCAAGCGAUAAAAAAAAAAAAAAGGGAGCACAGCUCGAAGGAUUGGGGGUUGACGAAGAACACAGCAAGAAUUUUGCUGAUUUCCUCAAGUUGGUUUCUUUGUAUACCCAAUUUGAUUUUGUUUUUGUUUUGGACUGUUUUUUGAAAACCAAAAUCUGUGACGUAUUUUUUAUCUCUGAACGUCUUAGAAAUUUCUUGGGUAAUAUUUUGAUUUUUCAUCUUUGAAAAUCUUGCAUCGUUUUUGUUUGUACUGGGUUGUAGUUGGAUGUGAAUUAAGUUAUGUCUUUUACUCUUAACUCCUCUUGAAAUGAGCGAGUUGACUUUACUUAAUGCCGGAUCCUAAUACCCUCCAA